AACAGACGAGGAGCUUGCUCCUCUGACGUUAGCGGCGGACGGGUGAGUAACACGUGGAUAACCUACCUAUAAGACUGGGAUAACUUCGGGAAACCGGAGCUAAUACCGGAUAAUAUAUUGAACCGCAUGGUUCAAUAGUGAAAGACGGUUUUGCUGUCACUUAUAGAUGGAUCCGCGCCGCAUUAGCUAGUUGGUAAGGUAACGGCUUACCAAGGCAACGAUGCGUAGCCGACCUGAGAGGGUGAUCGGCCACACUGGAACUGAGACACGGUCCAGACUCCUACGGGAGGCAGCAGUAGGGAAUCUUCCGCAAUGGGCGAAAGCCUGACGGAGCAACGCCGCGUGAGUGAUGAAGGUCUUCGGAUCGUAAAACUCUGUUAUUAGGGAAGAACAAAUGUGUAAGUAACUAUGCACGUCUUGACGGUACCUAAUCAGAAAGCCACGGCUAACUACGUGCCAGCAGCCGCGGUAAUACGUAGGUGGCAAGCGUUAUCCGGAAUUAUUGGGCGUAAAGCGCGCGUAGGCGGUUUUUUAAGUCUGAUGUGAAAGCCCACGGCUCAACCGUGGAGGGUCAUUGGAAACUGGAAAACUUGAGUGCAGAAGAGGAAAGUGGAAUUCCAUGUGUAGCGGUGAAAUGCGCAGAGAUAUGGAGGAACACCAGUGGCGAAGGCGACUUUCUGGCCUGUAACUGACGCUGAUGUGCGAAAG
rnacentral:rRNA from 1 species